rnacentral:rRNA from 1 species
AUUACAUGCAAGUCGAGCGGACAGAUGGGAGCUUGCUCCCUGAUGUUAGCGGCGGACGGGUGAGUAACACGUGGGUAACCUGCCUGUAAGACUGGGAUAACUCCGGGAAACCGGGGCUAAUACCGGAUGGUUGUCUGAACCGCAUGGUUCAGACAUAAAAGGUGGCUUCGGCUACCACUUACAGAUGGACCCGCGGCGCAUUAGCUAGUUGGUGAGGUAACGGCUCACCAAGGCGACGAUGCGUAGCCGACCUGAGAGGGUGAUCGGCCACACUGGGACUGAGACACGGCCCAGACUCCUACGGGAGGCAGCAGUAGGGAAUCUUCCGCAAUGGACGAAAGUCUGACGGAGCAACGCCGCGUGAGUGAUGAAGGUUUUCGGAUCGUAAAGCUCUGUUGUUAGGGAAGAACAAGUGCCGUUCAAAUAGGGCGGCACCUUGACGGUACCUAACCAGAAAGCCACGGCUAACUACGUGCCAGCAGCCGCGGUAAUACGUAGGUGGCAAGCGUUGUCCGGAAUUAUUGGGCGUAAAGGGCUCGCAGGCGGUUUCUUAAGUCUGAUGUGAAAGCCCCCGGCUCAACCGGGGAGGGUCAUUGGAAACUGGGGAACUUGAGUGCAGAAGAGGAGAGUGGAAUUCCACGUGUAGCGGUGAAAUGCGUAGAGAUGUGGAGGAACACCAGUGGCGAAGGCGACUCUCUGGUCUGUAACUGACGCUGAGGAGCGAAAGCGUGGGGAGCGAACAGGAUUAGAUACCCUGGUAGUCCACGCCGUAAACGAUGAGUGCUAAGUGUUAGGGGGUUUCCGCCCCUUAGUGCUGCAGCUAACGCAUUAAGCACUCCGCCUGGGGAGUACGGUCGCAAGACUGAAACUCAAAGGAAUUGACGGGGGCUCGCACAAGCGGUGGAGCAUGUGUUUUAAUUCGAACCAACGCGAAGAACCUUACCAGGUCUUGACAUCCUCUGACAAUCCUAGAGAUAGGACGUCCCCUUCGGGGGCAGAAUGACAGGUGGUCCAUGCUUUUCCUCACCUCCUGUCGUGAAAUUUUGGGUUAAAUCCCCUCAACGAACCCCAACCUUUGAUCUUAGUUCCCAUCUUUCAGUUGGGCAAUCUAAGGGAACUGCCUGGUGACAA